UUAAUAGUGCGAUAUAAAUUAUUUGGUUAAGAUUAAAUAUUUUUUUAUUAUAAUUAAAAUUUUUAAGUGAAAUUUAAAUUUUAAUUUUUUUUUUGUUAUUGAAGUCUAUAAAUUAAUAUUAAAACUAGGAUUAGAUACCCUAUUAUUGAAACUUAAAUUUUAUACUUUAUUAUUAUUAGUUAUGUUCUUAAAAAUAAAAAAAUUUGGCGGUGUUUUAUCUAUUUAGAGGAACCUGUUCUGUAAUUGAUAUUCCACGUUUAAUAAAACUUUUUCUUUAAAUUUACAUAUCGUUGUUUAAAACAUUUUAUUAGAAUAUGUUUAUUUAUUUUUUAAAAAUUUAAUUCAGAUCAAGGUGUAGUUUAUGGAAAAGUAGAAAUGGGUUACAUUUUUAUAAAAAAGAAUGAUUUAAAAUUAAAAAUUUUGAUGAUUUUGGAUUUAAUAGUAAUUGUAUAUAUAUAUAUAUAAUGAUAUAGUUCUAAAAU
rnacentral:rRNA from 1 species